rnacentral:rRNA from 1 species
AGCGAACGCUGGCGGCAGGCUUAACACAUGCAAGUCGAGCGGGCAUCCUUGUGGUGUCAGCGGCAGACGGGCGAGUAACGCGUGGGAACGUGCCCUUCGGUUCGGAAUAACUCAGGGAAACUUGAGCUAAUACCGGAUACGUGCGAGAGCAGAAAGGUUUAUCUGCCGAAGGAUCGGCCCGCGUCUGAUUAGCUAGUUGGUGAGGUUAUGGCUCACCAAGGCGACGAUCAGUAGCUGGUCUGAGAGGAUGAUCAGCCACACUGGGACUGAGACACGGCCCAGACUCCUACGGGAGGCAGCAGUGGGGAAUAUUGGACAAUGGGGGCAACCCUGAUCCAGCCAUGCCGCGUGAGUGAUGACGGCCUUAGGGUUGUAAAGCUCUUUUCUCCGGGACGAUAAUGACGGUACCGGAGGAAUAAGCCCCGGCUAACUUCGUG